GGAAAGAUGGUCGAGAAGUUCAAGGCGUAGCAUUGGAACUGCUAUGUAGGCUUCUGCUUACCGAGGGUUUGAAUCCCUCUCUUUCCG
rfam:Picea glauca, whole genome shotgun sequence.